rnacentral:rRNA from 1 species
UACGUAGGGUCCAAGCGUUGUCCGGAUUUAUUGGGCGUAAAGAGCUCGUAGGCGGCUUAGUAAGUCGGAUGUGAAAACUCGGGGCUCAACCCCGAGACGCCAUCCGAUACUGCUGUGGCUUGAGUCUGGUAGGGGAACACGGAAUUCCUGGUGUAGCGGUGAAAUGCGCAGAUAUCAGGAGGAACACCGGUGGCGAAGGCGGAUCUCUGGGCCUUACCUGACGCUGAGGCGCGAAAGCUAGGGGAGCAAACAGG